UUCUUAUGUAAAGCUUGAACACUCAACACCACAGUUUUAGAGACAGAGGUGGUGAGAAUAAGGGCUGUCCAGCGUGUCUCCUAUUUGGAGGCGGUGAGAAGAGUGGAAGGAGCGAGUGGAAUUGAGUAAUCAAGGGAUUCUGAGAUGUUACAGGUGAAAAAGGUGGACUUGGUAGCAUUUAUUUCAAUGGUCACAAACUGCACAGCACAAACAAAUAAGAUAUCAGAGAACAUUUGAAGGACUGUGCAGCAGUACGCUUUUUGGGAGUUUACAGCCGAGGCAUUGCAAGAAAUCCUGUCGAAGGACGUUCCGCCCUCACAAUUCCCUGAGUCUGUGUAGGGAUGUGAUUUGAAUGUAAUGAUUGACGAGCGUCGAGGAGAAAGAGAGAAGGGAGAGAGGCUGUGCCUCUGCUCAUGCUCUCAAAAUGUCGGCGCCCGGAGAAGACAUGUUUCCAAGGUGAGCAGGACGAUUAUGAGAUGAAGUUACGUCAGGAUGCCACAAGGCUGAAAGCAAAGUCGGGAGAAGAUGAAUAUUGGGAAAGGGAUACAGAAAGUUUAGGCGAAGGCCACCAACCACACCUUGGAUUCUCUUGAAGUAUUCAAUCUCAACUUCCAUCGACACCCCGACGAUGACUGCUAUAACAGGUGCUCUACUUUGCAGUUCAAAGCAUGACACUUUGGAAUUUGCAAUUCUUGUGAUUCCCAAUGCCUAUUUCUGCUCUUCAGAAACACAAUUAACUAGAACAAGCCCACUCUUGGUCACUCUUUUCCCAACACGUGCUUCACCUUCUUUCAUACCUCAAAUGGGUUUAAGGAUCGGGCCCUUUUUUUCAAUUUUCGCCUAAAAUGACAUACCCAAAUCUAACUGCCUGUAGCUCAGGCCCUGAAGCAAGGAUAUGCAUUUUCUUGGUACCAUUUGAAAGGAAACACUUUGAAGUUUGUGGAAAUGUGAAAGGAAUGUAGGAGAAUAUAACAUAUUAGAUCUGGUAAAAGAUAAUAUAAAGAUAAAAACAACCGUUUU